CGGGGUGUGGCGCAGUUGGUAGCGCGCCGCGUUUGGGACGCGGAGGCCGGAGGUUCGAGUCCUCUCACCCCGACCA
rnacentral:tRNA from 1 species